UGAAUUGACGGGACCGCACAAGCAGCGGAGCGUGUGGUUUAAUUCGUUGCUACACGAAGAACCUUACCUGGGUUUGACAUAUAAGUUGUAGGGAACUGAAAAGGGACCGACCCUUCGGGAGCUUAUACAGGUGCUGCAUGGCUGUCGUCAGCUCGUGUCGUGAGAUGUUCGGUUAAGUCCGCUAACGAGCGCAACCCCUAUUGUUAGUUGCCAUCAUUCAGUUGGGCACUCUAGCGAGACUGCCGGUAAUAAACCGGAGGAAGUGGGGAUGACGUCAAAUCAUCAUGCCCCUUAUGACCUGGGCUACACACGUGCUACAAUGGUUGGUACAACGAGUUGCGAGUCGGUGACGGCGAGCUAAUCUCUUAAAGCCAAUCUCAGUUCGGAUUGUAGGCUGCAACUCGCCUACAUGAAGUCGGAAUCGCUAGUAAUCGCGGAUCAGCACGCCGCGGUGAAUACGUUCCCGGGCCUU
rnacentral:rRNA from 1 species